CUCUGCCUGUAAAUACGCAUGCGCGCGCUCUGGGCCCAGGUUCCCCAUAAAAGGUCUACGCAUACCCGAUGCAGACACUUUCUUUUAAUCAAUAAGGGUGCAGUCACUGUUCUUACCGCGGGCGGCCGUGUCAGAUCACAUCCCAGCUGUGUUAUCAAGAAGCCACCUGAGCGGCUUCCGGUUCAUCCCGUCUGAGGAUGGCUCUCCCAAUCUAAUGCCCUUCCACACUGUCCCACCAAUAGAAAGAAUCCUUCGGCUUCACACGGUCAAGCACCCAGAACCCACUCUGGACACACGAAGCUGAUAGAAGUGGUCAUUGCUGUCACACCCUUACCUUUCUGCUUGUAGGAAAUCCAGGCACCUCUGUGAGAAGUGCCUUGUACUGCCUGAGUAUUGGUGAGGGUGGGGAUAAAUCUGUGCCCUUGGCUGGACAGGGUCUGGUGGGAAAGAACUUCUCUUGUGGGACCAAUCGCCAUCCCCUCCCCCACUCGGCCUUCAAGCAGUGCUACUCAUAAUACACUACAUAGGUGUGCCCUCUCAUUAAUUCUCCCUGGGAACAUUAAACUAAAGCCGUUUUGUUACCUCCCAAGGGAAUGGUAAGCUUAGAGAUGAUAGAGCCAUGACUCAGAGAACCGUGGAAGCCACGGAGGUCUUAUGGUCUGCUUUUCCAAUAAACAUGAGCGGUGGUUCCAACGGCUGUAAAAAAAAAAAAAAAAUGAGUGUGUCUUUGGAUCGGGGAGGCUUCGGGAUUUCCAGCUUCAGCCUGGAAAAGUCAUUUAGAGCCUUUGGGGAGAUAGCUGGAGUGACCCUGGAACACUGAGGAAACUGUUCAAGCCUGAUCUUCUGCCCUUCCCUGAUGGAUGUGGCCCGAGUCUCUGCCCCCCCCCACCCCCAGGUUCACAUCCCUCAGCGCACCUGGGCUCCCGCUAUGCUGCUUCCCCAGGGACAAGCGGUAUCAUUAAUCAAUGUCUUCAGAGUGCACCAGAGUCUUGCUAAGGAGACUUCCCUGGGUCCUAUAAUCUUCUGCCUUGUCAUCUCCCCACAGCCCUUGUCAUCUCCCCACAGCCCUUGUCACCUGUUAAUCAUACCAGUGAAAUGUUUAAUGUUCCGUAAAGGGC
rnacentral:lncRNA from 1 species